ensembl:lncRNA
CUCGAGGGUCCCGGGACGCGGCUUCAGAAAGAGGAAGCCCGGGAAACCGGUUUCCGCGUUGCAGCUGCUAUCCAGCGCUCCCUGGCCGGUCCCAGAACCGAGACCUGGGCGCUAGGUGCAGCUGCUCUGCGGUGCCCGCUGCUGUGUGGGCGCCUGUACGUCAGUCAGGGCAGGCGGCGCCGGGAGCGGACCGAGGGCUGCCCGGCGGAAGGGCUCUGUCCGCGGCUGCGGGCCUUAAGAACGUGCGGGCCGCCUCCGUUGUGGGCCUCCCGGUCCCACCACUGAUACACAACCGUUCCAGUUUCUCCACAUCUUGGCCCACACUUGCAGCUUUCUGCUUUAUUUUUUCAUGAGAG